GCUGGGUGUGGUGGUGUGCACCUGUAGUCCUAGCUACCCAGGAGGCUGAGACAGGAGCAUUGCUUGAGCCCAGGAGUUUGAGGCUGCAAGUGAGCUGAGAAGCUGCCACUGCACUCCUGCCUGAGUGACAGAGUGAAAUCCCGUCUCAA
ensembl:misc_RNA Metazoa_SRP Metazoan signal recognition particle RNA